AUGCUUUACAGAGCCAGCUUUUGCUUGAUGAUACAUCCAUGUUGGAUUGGCGUCAUGAAGAGUGAGAUGUACUUAACGUUUUCUCCAGAGAUUGUUAACCAAGAUAACAUUUAUUUGGGGAACAGGUUGCCCUGGGUACGUACGGAAAAAGCAAAGCACAUCGCCUGUGGGACUUGGAUGAAUAGACGUGGGAAAGAGACAUCGUGCGGGAUGGAAUUGGUGACCAGUCCACAGUCCAGAUUUCCAAAUAGUUGCUUUAUCCAACCCUUGAGAUGUUAUAAUUAGCUAUGCCCUGCCUUUCUUGUGGGUAUAAUAUGGUAGAUAUUGGGAUGGCGGGAAGAUACUUAAAAAGUUUCAAAUAGUACCGAUACCAGGAUUAUUUUUGUGCUCCUAUUUAAUGUCCUACUUAAUUCACUUACUUGGAGACACUGUAUUAUGUGGAAGAGGGAGUUUACCGUGGUGCUUAGGAUAGGAACAGGCUUUGGAGCAAGGCACACCUGGUUUUCCGUUCUUGUUCUACCUCUAACCAGUUAGGUGACUGCAUCUCUGUAGGCCUUGACUUCACCGUCUGAAAAAUGGGGAUAAUAAUUCUUGCACCACUGUGAUUUUAGGGACAUUUAGUGAGAUAAUACUGCCUGUAUGCCAUGCUCGGCCUCCUGCGGGACUCUCCGCGAGUCCUUGGUACAGUGUGGCUAUGAUUCUAACCAUGACUGAAAUAGACCAAACGUGUCAUUCAGCUUGCAACACUUCACGUGGAAGGGAGGAGUCUCCUUCCACAGCAGCAGGAUUCACGGGGCCUCCAUAUUCCUCAGAGAAGGGCCCCCAAAUCCAUGCUCUUUUGUUUAUAGCUUUAUUGGAAGCCAGUUAAGCACCACCAUAUUUCACUUUAAUGCCAGUGUAAAUUUGAAAAUAUUUCACUGAAUUAUCCUUGCAUAAACGUUUGCUCUCUCUCUUUUUCGUUCGUUCAAGAAAUAUUUAUUGCAUACCUGUUAUAUGCCAGGCCCUGUGCUAGGUGCUGGGGAUCAGACAGUGAAUAGGGUAGAAAUGGCUGUGCAUUUAGGAAGGUUACAAUGUGGUGGGGACACACACACAAAAGACCAGCGGACAGGCAAUUGCAAGGCAACACAUUCAGUGCUGUGGCAGGAGUAAGGUGCUACCGGAGAAUUUUGCUGGGGUGCUGAACCCAGGUUUUGGGGAGUUGACUCUGGAAGUGGGAUCAUUUUUAAAAAUUUAUUUAUUCUUGAGAGAGAGAGAGAGAGAGAGAGAGAGAGAGAGAGCAAGCAGG
rnacentral:lncRNA from 1 species